rnacentral:rRNA from 1 species
AUGGGGAGGCGGAAGGAGCGCCGCCUGGCGGCCAAGGCGGCCUCGGGCCGCAGGGUCAAGCUCGACCUCUUCCUCGAUCCUCCCCCCGGGGAGGCAUCUAUGAAAGAGGGAGUAGGAGAGGAAAACCGUGGGCAGCAAACUGGUGUUCCCACUUCACCAUCUUCGUCAGAUAAGAAGGAAAAUCCUCUAGCUUUGCUUGGGCAAUAUAGUGAUGAUGAAGAAGAGGAUGAAGUAGCAACAGAUCAACCCAUUGGUGAAACUAAGGGGAGUCCAACAGAUGCAAGUGCUGAGGUUAUUCAUGAUCAGGCUGAUGUAACUGGGGAUAAUGGCGAUGCAGAUAGUGAACUGCCUGCUUCUGUUAGUGUUCAGCAGGAGGUAUCUCAAGCUGAUGAUGUAAAAAAUGUCACAGAAAAUGUUGCUGAGGAAUUUACUGUUGCCCCUGAGCCAACUCUGGAAAAUGAGGGUGUGACAGCAACGGAAGCUGUCCCAGAUUCAUCUGGCAUGCAAAUUGUUGGUGACAUUGGUGGGAAUUGGAAGGCUAUAAUGCAUGAACAGAGUAAUCAGUGCUACUACUGGAACACAGUUACUGGAGAAACUUCUUGGGAGAUUCCUAAUGGAUUAGCUUCAGUAGUUGCUGCUGAUGGGGUCACUUCUGCAUCUGUGCCUACUCAUAUGGGGUACUCUGUCGAAGCUCAAGCACAUGUCCUUCCCCACAGUAAUGUCGAAGCAUAUCCUAGUGACGUGUCUGUUGGAAAUGGCACAGCAACCUAUACUGCUAUGGGAACUUAUACUCAUGAUCCUUAUGCUUACACUGGAGCCAUUGCUAGUCAUGAGACAGUGGACAUUGACCCCUUGCAGCUUGCAAAAUAUGGUGAGGAUUUACUGCAAAGACUGAAGCUGCUGGAAAGGCCACAUGUUGCCAUUGACAGUCUUGAGUUGAUAAAAAGAGAAAUUGAGAUACGAAUAGCAGACUGUAGUGCCCUCUCCUCGUAUGGAUCUUCUUUACUUCCGUUGUGGUUGCAUGCUGAGGUGCACCUUAAGCAACUAGAACUUUCAGUUUCCAAGUUUGAAGCUAGCUACACUACCAAACAUGGAUAUCUGGAGACAGUGGAUGCAGGACACAAAGCACCUAAUCAAGCUGAAGUUAUGGCACCCUCUGAGGGUGAGCAUUUGAAGGUUGAUGUUAGCACUCUGGGAAUAGGUACUGGCGAUGAAAAUAUUAAGGUUGAGGAACCAUGUACAACAUCAUCUGUUCAGAACUCACAAGGUGUGGCAGCAGCUAUUUUAAGAGUUGAAUCAGACAGUGAUGAAGAUAUGGACGUGGAAAUGGAGGUCGAUGAAGAAGGUGUUGAAGAGCAGGGCGGUUCCACUUCUAUGCCAAAUAAGGAGCAUCCUUCAUCAGAGCAAGUACGAUCACCAGCUUUGUCAUCAUUGGAGGAUUCUGCUCCUCCCCCACAGGAUAAUGACAUUCCUCCACCACCACCACCACCAGAAGAGGAAUGGAUUCCACCUCCACCACCUGAGAAUGAACCAGCUCCUCCACCUCCUCCUGAGCCUGAAGAGCCCGCUGUGUCAUUUGUUCAUGCUGAUACACUUCCUCAGCCAUACGGAGAUCAAGCAAACUUGGGUUACAUGCUUCCAGUAAUGGAGUACUAUCCUGCUGCUGGUACAGAUAGCACAAAUGCCAACUACUAUAUGCAAGCAAGCGAUUCUCAAAUUCUUCAAUCACAGCAGCAUUCUUACUAUGCACCAUUGUCUGCAAGUGGUGUAUCUAUUCCUGUUGAGACCACAUCCAUCCCCACAGUACCAGGUUCUUAUUAUAGCUAUCCUUCUGUCACCAUGUCUGCAACUGAAGUAGCAGCUGAAUCUUCUGGAUACUAUGCUUCAUCAACCUGUGCCAUUUCUAGUGGUGAAUUAGAUAACAAAACAAGCUCGGCCUCCCUUGUUGCAAAUAGUAAUGUGAAUUCUGUGGAGUCUGAUAAAGUGAUAUCCAAGGAGCCCACAGUUGCGUCUUUGAGCCAAUCAGUAGGAGCAGUCUCAGCUUCAGGACCAACAGUACAUGGAAGUUCUACUCAAGCUUCUACUAGCACCACUAAUCAGACUAAAGUUCCUCGUACUAAGAAGCGACCUGUUGCUGUUGCAUCGUCACUGAGAUCUAAUAAGAAGGUCUCAAGUCUGGUGGAUAAGUGGAAAGCUGCAAAAGAGGAGCUUCGUGAUGAAGAGGAAGAGGAGCCUGAAGAUGCUUUGGAGUACCUAGAAAGGAAACGCCGGAAGGAAAUAGAUGGGUGGCGUAAACAACAAAUAGCUAGUGGAGAAGCCAAGGAAAAUGCUAAUUUUGUUCCCCUUGGUGGUGAUUGGCGUGACCGUGUAAAACGCAAAAGAGCUGAAGCAAAGAAGGAAGCAAAGACUGAAUCUAUUCGUGCAGCUGCCGAACAACACAAAGGGGAGCCUGAUCUCUCAGAGCUCUCCAAGGGUCUUCCUUCUGGGUGGCAGGCAUACAUAGACGAGUCUACGAAGCAAGUGUACUAUGGGAACAACCUCACUUCCGAGACGACUUGGGAUCGGCCUAGCAAAUAA